rnacentral:rRNA from 1 species
CCUACGGGAGGCAGCAGUGAGGAAUAUUGGUCAAUGGGCGCGAGCCUGAACCAGCCAAGUCGCGUGAAGGAUGACUGCCCUACGGGUUGUAAACUUCUUUUAUAAGGGAAUAAAGUGAGGCACGUGUGCCUUGUCGUGUUUACUCGAAGAAUAAGGAUCGGCUAACUCCGUGCCCGCAGCCGCGGUAAUACGGAGGAUCCGAGCGUUAUCCGGAUUUAUUGGGUUUAAAGGGAGCGUAGACGGGUGGUUAAUUCAGUUGUUAAAGUCUGCGGCUCAACCGUAUAAUGGCAAUUGAUACUUGUUUUCUUGAGUACAGUUGAGGUAUGCGGAAUUCGUGGUGUAGCGGUGAAAUGCUUAGAUAUCACGAAGAACUCCGAUUGCGAAGGCAGCUUACUAAACUUCAACUGACAUUGAUGCUCGAAAGUGUGGGUAUCAAACAGGAUUAGAUACCCGAGUAGUC